CUACACAUGCAGUCGAACGCGAAAGUCCGCUAGCAGGCGUCGAGUGGCGGACGGGUGAGUAAUGCAUAGGAAUCUACCUAGUAGUGGGGGACAACCUGGUGAAAACCAGGCUAAUACCGCAUAAUCCCUACGGGGCAAAGCAGGGGACCUCUUCGGGCCUUGCGCUAAUAGAUGAGCCUAUGUCGGAUUAGCUAGUUGGUGAGGUAAUGGCUCACCAAGGCGACGAUCCGUAGCUGGUUUGAGAGGAUGAUCAGCCACACUGGGACUGAGUCACGGCCCAGACUCCUACGGGAGGCAGCGGUGGGGAAGAUUGCACAAUGGACGAAAGUCUGAUGCAGCAAUGCCGCGUGUGUGAAGAAGGCCUUAGGGUUGUAAAGCACUUUCAGUAGGGAGGAAAAGUAAGUAGUUAAUAACUGCUUACCCUGACGUUACCUACAGAAGAAGCACCGGCUAACUCCGUGCCAGCAGCCGCGGUAAUACGGAGGGUGCAAGCGUUAAUCGGAAUUACUGGGCGUAAAGCGCGCGUAGGCGGUUAGAUAAGUCAGAUGUGAAAGCCCCGGGCUCAACCUGGGAACUGCAUUUGAAACUGUUUAACUAGAGUGUGGUAGAGGAGAGUGGAAUUUCAGGUGUAGCGGUGAAAUGCGUAGAUAUCUGAAGGAACACCAGUGGCGAAGGCGGCUCUCUGGACCAACACUGACGCUGAGGUGCGAAAGCGUGGGUAGCAAACGGGAUUAGAUACCCCGGUAGUCCACGCCGUAAACGAUGUCUACUAGCCGUUGGAAUCCUUAGAGGUUUUAGUGGCGCAGCUAACGCAAUAAGUAGACCGCCUGGGGAGUACGGCCGCAAGGCUAAAACUCAAAUGAAUUGACGGGGGCCCGCACAAGCGGUGGAGCAUAUGGUUUAAUUCGAUGCAAUGCGAAGAACCUUACCUACUCUUGACAUCCUCGGAACUUAGCAGAGAUGCUUUGGUGCCUUCGGGAACCGAGUGACAGGUGCUGCAUGGCUGUCGUCAGCUCGUGUCGUGAGAUGUUGGGUUAAGUCCCGUAACGAGCGCAACCCUUGUCCUUAUUUGCCAGCACGUAAUGGUGGGAACUCUAAGGAGACUGCCGGUGAUAAACCGGAGGAAGGCGGGGACGACGUCAAGUCAUCAUGGCCCUUACGGGGUGGGUUAUACACGUGCUACAAUGGUCGGUAUAGAGGGUUGCGAAGUCGCGAGGCGGAGCCAAUCCCAGAAAGCCGAUCGUAGUCCGGAUUGCAGUCUGUAAUUUGACUGCAUGAAGUUGGAAUCGCUUGUAAUCGCGAAUCAGAACGUCGCGGUGAAUACGUUCCCGGGCCUUGUACACACCGCCCGUCACACCAUGGGAGUGGGUUGCAAAAGAAGUGGGUAGUCUAACCUUCGGGAGGGCGCUCACCACUUUGUGA
rnacentral:rRNA from 1 species